ensembl:lncRNA
ACCGGGCCGACCGCCUGGACCUCCGCAACGUCGCCUCAUUUCUUCUGAAAUGAGACACACGUUCUAUUUGCACCCCGGACAUUCCUCCCCGUUCAUGAUGCACUGGAGAAGAGUUUAGCUUUACUGGAUGAGGAGCCGCCGCCUCCGGACCCUCCAGGACGCCGCCGCCGCCGGGCCCUCCAGGUUGGUCUCCACCACCGGGACCUCCAGGUUGGACACAACCGCCGCCUCCAGGCCCUCCAGGUUGGCCGCCUCCAGGCCCUCCAGGUUGGCCGCCUCCAGGCCCUCCAGGUUGGCCGCCUCCAGGCCCGCCGUCGCCUCCAUGAUGGCUUCCGCCGGCGCCUCGAGGCUCUCCAGGAUGGCCGCCUCUAGGACCUCCAGGCCCGCCGUUGCCUCCAGGCCCUCCAGGUUGGCCACCACCUCCAGGCCCUCCAGGUUGGCCACCGCCGCCAUGUGGACGCCACCUCCAGGCCCUCCAGGAUGGUCUCCACAAUCCGCCUCCAGGACCUCCAGGUAGUCCGCCUCCAGGAUGGCCGCCUCCAGGCCCAUCGACUCCAGGACCUCCAGGUUGGCCUCCGCCUCCAGGACCUCCGCCUCAGUCCUUC